rnacentral:rRNA from 1 species
CCUACGGGUGGCAGCAGUGGGGAAUAUUGCACAAUGGGGGAAACCCUGAUGCAGCGACGCCGCGUGAGUGAAGAAGUCUCUCGGUAUGUAAAGCUCUAUCAGCAGGGAAGAAAAUGACGGUACCUGACUAAGAAGCCCCGGCUAACUACGUGCCAGCAGCCGCGGUAAUACGGAGGGGGCAAGCGUUAUCCGGAUUUACUGGGUGUAAAGGGAGCGUAGACGGCGGAGCAAGUCCGGAGUGAAAGGCGGCGGCUCAACAGUGGAACUGCAAUGGAAACUGUGGAGUUUGAGGGCAGGGGGGGUAGGUGGAAUGCGGGGUGGAGCGGUGAAAUGAGGAGAUAUCAGGAAGAACGCCGAGGGCGAAGGCAGCGUAAUAAACGGGAACUGACAGUGAGGCUCGAAAGUGUGGGGAGCAAACAGGAUUAGAUACCCCGGUAGUC